AUGUCGGACUCCGAGGACCACCACUUCGAGUCCAAGGCGGACGCGGGGGCGUCCAAGACCUACCCUAUGCAGGCCGGCGCCAUCCGGAAGGGCGGCUUCCUCGUCAUCAAGAACCGCCCCUGCAAGGUGGUGGAGGUUUCUACCUCGAAGACUGGAAAGCAUGGUCAUGCUAAAUGCCACUUUGUUGCCUUAGAUAUAUUCAAUGGUAAAAAGCUUGAGGACAUUGUUCCUUCAUCCCACAACUGUGAUGUGCCACAUGUGGACCGUACUGAGUAUCAGCUGAUUGACAUAUCAGAGGAUGGAUUUGUGAGCCUUCUUACUGAUAAUGGUAGCACUAAGGAUGAUCUUAAACUCCCAACUGAUGACGCUAUCCUGACCCAGCUCAAGGAUGGAUUUGCUGAGGGGAAAGAUCUCGCACUGACAGUCAUGUCGGCCAUGGGGGAGGAGCAGAUCUGCGCAGUCAAGGACGUCGGCCCCAGGUAA
rnacentral:rRNA from 1 species